GUGUAGUCUUUUUAGACAAAAAAACAAAGGCUAUUAUAUGGCUUCAGAAGACUUGCAACACAACUCAUAACACAUGAGUUGUGGACCAAUUUUCAAUUUAAUUUUUCAUAUUUUUAUGAUCUUUUCUGUGACAUUUUUGGAGAUUAACACAAUAUUUAAGCAUUUUUACAUAAAUUGUUGCAUUGAAUUGAACUAAACAAGUGUACAUAAGAAUGGUUUCAUGAAUGAUUUACACAGUUUUGUUCUGCUUGUCUCCUGCAGUGUAACUGAAUGAUGACUGGGGUUGCAUUACGCCUGAGAUCUGCUUUUGGGUUCCACCGACAGAAAGUCUAACAGGCACCUCGGUAAGCUGAAAUACAAGUUUGAACAAGAAAAAUAAUCCUCCUGUAGACCUGAAAAUCAUAGAAGUGCCUGGACCAUCCACCAGUAAAGAGGAAAAACAAACGGAAAAUUGUACUGUUCUAACUCGUUAACCUCACAUGUCCCUUGUUAAGAUUUUAUUAAUGAUUGCAUUUUAUGUUUCAGCAAGUAAAGGUGCGGUCAAAUUUGUGAAAUUACACAGGCAAAAAAAGUCCAUUGACACAACUUAACUUAAUUGUUUUUUUUUUUUUUAUUAAUGUGAUGUGUUUCCAUGCAUUUUGUUGAGAUGUAUACCCUUUUCUUGUAUACCCUAUUGUAUAUACUGUACAUUGUUGAUUAUUCAUGUUGCUUACAGUAUGUAUUAUACUAUUUGUUUGUGUAUUCUAUUCAGUGAUAUUAAUCUAUUACUAGCUUCUUUUCCCGAGUGCAUGGAAGUGUAUGUAUUAAAAUGGAUCUAAAAUUUAAUAAACAAUUCUUACCUUGUA